rnacentral:rRNA from 1 species
UACAGAGGUCUGCAAGCGUUGUUCGGAUUCAUUGGGCGUAAAGGGUGUGUAGGUGGCGCGCUAAGUCGGGAUGUGAAAGUUUCCGGAGCUUAACUCCGAAACUGCAUUCGAUACUGCCGUGCUUGAGGACUGGAGAGGAGACUGGAAUUUACGGUGUAGCGGUGAAAUGCGUAGAUAUCGUAAGGAAGACCAGUGGCGAAGGCGGGUCUCUGGACAGUUCCAUGACGCUGGAGGCACGAAGGCCAGGGGAGCAAACGGG